GCUGACGGAGUGGAUGUGAGGCUGUGUCCCGCGGUAAAUACCUGGCGCGUCACUCCACUGCCCUCGUCUGCUCCACACCUCGGUCACAAAGUCACUGGGAGGGGCUCAGUGCUCCUCCACUCACUUCCUUCUCUCGGUGACACCUGAUGAGUUGUGGAGCUCACACUUUAAUUGUUUACGUUCUUAGAAAGCCGUCUGCUGACGUUCCUCUUCCAGCGGCCUUCAGCGGCAACACAGUGCGCGCGCACGCAUGCAGGAAGUUGCGUCAGCGAGUCACAUGAUCCGGAAGUGCAAGGAAGCCGUCGACAUGGAGAAGUCCUAGCCCAACACAUGCUACUAAAUACUAAAGGCUGAACCCACACACAGUCCGGUGCACGACUACUCCAGUCCCGACUGUUUGCUCUGCUUUUACGGCCAACAUGGCGACGAUUGUCGACCUCAAACGAGGCCUUCACACGAUGACUGAGAAAAAAAUGAGCAAGUACAAACUGUCAAAUAAACUUCUCAGCCGGGCUGGUCUUCACACGAGGCACUAUGUCCUGUUUGAGUAAAAUCUGU